GUUCAAGUCCGUCAUGGCCCUUACGGUAGGGCUACACACGGUGCUACGAAUGGCAGUGACAAUGGGGAUAAAUCCCCAAAAAGCUGUCUCAGUUCGGAUUGUCGUCUGCAACUCGACGGCAUGAAGGUGGAAUCGCUAGUAAUCGUGGAUCAGCAUGCCACGGUGAAUACGUUCCCGGGCCUU
rnacentral:rRNA from 1 species